rnacentral:tRNA from 10 species
GGUUCCUUAGCUCAGCGGGAGAGCACUACCUUGACAUGGUAGGGGUCGCUGGUUCAAUCCCAGUAGGGACCA